rnacentral:lncRNA from 1 species
GUAGGCUUGAAGCCGAUCUAUUUCUAACUCUUUGGCGAUCCUUAGCCCUACAAUCAGAGCUUCAUAUUCUGCUCCAUUAUUUAUCGCAGGGAAUUCAAAUCGCAGCACAUACUCCACCAUAAUUCCAUCUGGAUUGAUCAAGAUCAGGCCCACGCCUGCACCUGACAUGUUGGAGGAACUGUCCACGUAGAGGGUCCAAAAACCAUCAAGGAGAUCUGUUCUUUCUUCAGGGGAGUUCAACUAGGGCCUUGGGUUGUCGGCUUCAUCUCGUCUAAGUUCGGCC